UACAGAGGGGGCAAGCGUUAUUCGGAAUUAUUGGGCGUAAAGGGCGCGUAGGCGGCCUGACAAGUGGAAGGUGAAAUCCCUCGGCUUAACCGAGGAACUGCCCUCCAAACUGUUUGGCUUGAGUCCGGGAGAGGUGAGUGGAAUUCCCAGUGUAGCGGUGAAAUGCGUAGAUAUUGGGAGGAACACCAGUGGCGAAGGCGGCUCACUGGACCGGAACUGACGCUGAGGCGCGAAAGCGUGGGGAGCAAACAGG
rnacentral:rRNA from 1 species